rnacentral:rRNA from 1 species
UACAGAGGGUGCAAGCGUUGUUCGGAAUUAUUGGGCGUAAAGCGUCUGUAGGUGGUUUAAUAAGUCAACUGUUAAAUCUUGAGGCUCAACCUCAAAAUCGCAGUCGAAACUAUUAGGCUAGAGUAUAGUAGGGGUAAAGGGAAUUUCCAGUGGAGCGGUGAAAUGCGUAGAGAUUGGAAAGAACACCGAUGGCGAAGGCACUUUACUGGGCUAUUACUAACACUCAGAGACGAAAGCUAGGGUAGCAAAUGGG